AUUUAAGAUACAGCUUGCCGGGGUAGUCUGAACACCUGCAGAGAGGAACAUCUGAAGAGUUGUUGAGGUUCGGAGACCACUUGAUCUAAAAGUAGUGGGGAGCUGUGAGAACAGCACUGAUGGCGGCGCUAACAAUGAGGGGAAUGUAAGGAUGUGGUUUGCUCUCAAGAAGGUUAGAAAGAAAGUAGGAGGGGGAAGGAGGAGAGAGAGGUGGGCUGCUGGUAUGCAGAACAGUAGGAACUAAAGCGCAGUGAAAGGAAAUAGCUGAGGCUGUAAAAAGUGAAAAAGGUUACCGAGAACUGAAGAAAUCAGAGAUGAGAUAAUGUGGCUGAAUGGAGAACUGCCCAAGCUUCUUGCUUCUCGUUUCUGCAGUUCACCCUGUGUCAACCUCUAGCAGCACGGGAGGUUACAUGGACAAUUUGUUCUGAUCCUUUUGCCUGCAAACAUCACUUCCCAGACCAGAAAUUAACGGAUCAACAGAAAAGGAGGGGAGGAUGGUUCUCCUCAGAAACACUCACUGGGACCUCAGCCUCUGAAGACGUUGCUGUUGUUGGAGUGUUCGGGGGAUACUAGGCUUUGGCAAGCCUACCUGGAGGGGCUGAAGAAGUUUCUUGCCUUUAGGAAGGACAUGGGGAUGCCUGCAGCCUGGCCCAUUCCAGAGGAUCAAGUUAGAGGAUUUCUAGCUGUGGAGUCUCUUUACUCGUGCUCAAAAACAUUGACGUAUGUGGCAGCGUUGUCUUACUUAUCAAGACUGUCUGGUAACCCUGACCCUCUGGAAGAUGCUAUAACCCGUUGUAUGGUAAUGGGGUUGAGACGUCAAGUGGGCAUCCUGAGGGAAAAAUACACUCCUAUAACAAUUGAGGUGCUACGAUCUCUCUUAGGAGCACUGGAAUCUGUGUGUGUAUCCCAUUAUGAAUGCUUACUGUUCCGUGCAUUGUUCACCGUGGCUCUUUUUGGGGCACUUCGAAUAGGAGAGAUGGUGGCAAAGCACCGUAAUGUACUGCAGCCUGAACUGCUGUACUUGAGGGAUGUGCGGGUGACAGAAAGCAGGGUGGCGUUUCACCUGCAUAACUGUCCUGUCGGCCAGGAGAGACCCAUCAUCAGCCUUGCUCUGUCAGGAGAGCCGUGGGUGUGCCCUGUCCUGGCCCUCCGGAGCUAUGUCGCUGUGCGUUCAAGACUGGAAGGGCCGCUCUUCGUGCAUGGGGACGAUGUGCCUGUAACAAAGAGGGGGUUUCUGACUGUUCUCAGGUGGGCCCUUAGGCUGCUGGGGCUGCCCCCGGAGCAAUACGGCGUGCACUCCUUCUGGCUGGGGACUAUCAUCACUGCUGCACGCUGUGGAUAUCCCAGGGAAGAUAUCACUCGCCUGGCAAGGUGGCCAUGUGUGUUCCCAGAGAAGUCAUAGCUAUGGAGACAGUGGGCAAAAGAAGCUAGUGGUUUCUUUCUGUAGUUUUAACAACACACACAGUUUAUAGUCCUUGGCAGUAAUUUAACAUUACCAUCUGUAAUGAAUGCUCUACCUCACUGUGGAUAUAAUCUAUGAAAUUCACUUGCAUUUGUUUUCACCCUCUGUACUGUUGAGGGUGGGGGACUGUCAAACUUGCUGUGCCCGCAGAUGCUUUUAUCUUGUAUGACUUCAGUUAAUAAAUGCUUCCUUUUUCAAAAAGCGGUCUAUGCUUACUGGUAAUAUUAUUCUUUAUCUGAAGAAGCUGUGGACUUUGGCUUUUUUGAGCAAUAAAUGAUUCUAAAGUUUUGGAAAAAACAAACCCAACACCUCAAGACUUUGCAGUAGACACUGUAAGAUAUCGUAGUUAUACAGUAUAGUUAACUAUAACAUACGUUGGUGUUAGAUGUCAAGCUAUGGUAAAAGAUGUUGCUGAGGUCAAAAAGGGAACAAACUAUGUUAUUAGCCUAAUAACAGACAUCAAAGACUGAGGUUUUUUUAAUAAAAAACCAUGUUGGUAUUCAUAAGAUCUGUUCAAACCAAUAUCAUCUUUAUUCAGCAAAUACUGGCUCAGAAACUAUUUCUCUUUGGCUGUUAAUCCCAAUUCCCUCUGUGCAUAAUUAGCCUGAUUAGAAUUUUAAACAACUAAAAUAGUACCGGG
ensembl:lncRNA